GACGAACGCUGGCGGCGUGCUUAACACAUGCAAGUCGAGCGGUAAGGCCCUUUCGGGGGUACACGAGCGGCGAACGGGUGAGUAACACGUGGGCGACCUGCCCUCAGCUCUGGGAUAAGCCUGGGAAACCGGGUCUAAUACCGGAUAUGACUCCAUGACGCAUGUUGUGGGGUGGAAAGCCUUGUGCGGCUGAGGAUGGGCCCGCGGCCUAUCAGCUUGUUGGUGGGGUGAUGGCCUACCAAGGCGACGACGGGUAGCCGGCCUGAGAGGGCGACCGGCCACACUGGGACUGAGACACGGCCCAGACUCCUACGGGAGGCAGCAGUGGGGAAUCUUGCGCAAUGGGCGAAAGCCUGACGCAGCGACGCCGCGUGAGGGAUGACGGC
rnacentral:rRNA from 1 species